CUCCGUAUAGCUCAGUCUGGUAGAGCACUGCGUUUGGGACGCAGGUGUCCGAUGUUCAAAUCAUCGUACGGAGACCA
rnacentral:tRNA from 2 species